UCAAAAGCAAGUGUUUUUACCCAUGGACCCAUCUCUCCAGCUGCUNNNNNNNUUGUGAGCCACCAUAUGGUUGCUGGGAUUUGAACUCAUGACCUUUGGAAGAGCAGUCGGUGCUUUUACCCGUUGAGCCAUCUCACCAGCCCCCGCUGUUGUUCUUUUUAAAGAUAGUCUUACCUGACUGGCCUGGAACUCCAUAUAUUAAGAUUGAAGGGAUCUUCUGCCUCCUAAAUAUUGGAAUAAAAAAUUUCUUUUCCUUCUUUGACACAGGGUCUCACUCAAUGUGCUUGUAUGUUAACUCACAAGGAUCUUCAUCUUCUGCUUCUCUAGUGCAGGGAUUGUUUGCACUACCAUUCCUAGCCCCGGCUUUAGUUUUUAUAUCCACAAAAGCAGUUAUUAAUACUUGAUGAGUUCCCCAGUCUUUGGAGCCUUUAAAUACUGCUUACUUAUUUAAGAUGGGGAUUACUAAAACCAUCUAUUUGGUAACUCUGAGAUUGGGACUGGGAAUCUGUGGUUUUUAGGAUUUGAUUCCUUUUUUUGUUGCGGGGAGAUAGGGUGGUGGUUCUCUGUGACAGCCAGGGCUAUAAAGUGAAACCCUGUCUGGAAAAACAAAACAAAACAAAAAAAA
ensembl:antisense Gm15859 predicted gene 15859